rnacentral:rRNA from 1 species
CCCUUAGAUGUUCUGGGCCGCACGCGCGCUACACUGAUGCAUUCAACGAGCCUAUCCUUGACCGACAGGUCCGGGUAAUCUUUGAAUCUGCAUCGUGACGGGGAUAGAUUAUUGCAAUUAUUAAUCUUCAACGAGGAAUGCCUAGUAGGCGCAAGUCAUCAGCUUGCGUCGAUUACGUCCCUGCCCUUUGUACACACCGCCCGUCGCUCCUACCGAUUGGGUGUGCUGGUGAAAUGUUCGGAUCGGCCGUUUGUCGCGGUUUCCUCGUCAUGUGGCUGAGAAGUUCAUUAAACCCUCCCACCUAGAGGAAGGAGAAGUCGUAACA